rnacentral:rRNA from 1 species
UACGAAGGGGGCUAGCGUUGCUCGGAAUUACUGGGCGUAAAGGGCGCGUAGGCGGCACUGUUAGUCAGGCGUGAAAGUCCUGGGCUCAACCUGGGAACUGCGCUUGAUACGGCAGAGCUAGAGGAUGGAAGAGGGUCGCGGAAUUCCCAGUGUAGAGGUGAAAUUCGUAGAUAUCCGGAAGAACACCGGAGGCGAAGGCGGCUUGCUGGACCUGGUCUGACGCUGAGGCGCGAAAGCGUGGGGAGCGAACAGG